rnacentral:rRNA from 1 species
UGCAAGUCGAGCGGAAAGGCCCUUCGGGGUACUCGAGCGGCGAACGGGUGAGUAACACGUGAGUAACCUGCCCCUGACUCUGGGAUAAGCCCGGGAAACUGGGUCUAAUACCGGAUACGACACCUCCUGGCAUCGGGUGGGUGUGGAAAGUUUUUUCGGUUGGGGAUGGACUCGCGGCCUAUCAGCUUGUUGGUGGGGUAACGGCCUACCAAGGCGACGACGGGUAGCCGGCCUGAGAGGGCGACCGGCCACACUGGGACUGAGACACGGCCCAGACUCCUACGGGAGGCAGCAGUGGGGAAUAUUGCGCAAUGGGCGAAAGCCUGACGCAGCGACGCCGCGUGGGGGAUGACGGCCUUCGGGUUGUAAACCUCUUUCAGCAGGGACGAAGUUGACGUGUACCUGCAGAAGAAGCGCCGGCUAACUACGUGCCAGCAGCCGCGGUAAUACGUAGGGCGCAAGCGUUGUCCGGAAUUAUUGGGCGUAAAGAGCUCGUAGGUGGCUUGUCACGUCGGGUGUG